UGGAAAUAUUUACCCAAGAUUCUGACCCUUCUUAAUAUUUAAGUGUAUAUAAUAUUAUCAAGGUUAUUAGUGCUGCCUUUUGCUAUAUGGAUGAAUGGAAUUGUGAUGAGUGUUAAAGACAGUAAUAUAUGAAAUUCAGAGCUUUAAAAAGUUAUUGCAUAAACUCUAUUUUUUUUUCAUAAAUUCUAUUUUUAAGCUGUCAAAAUUUCAGUAGUUGUGAUUUCCUUGAUUUUUAACAGUGAAAUGAUGGAAAAAUAUAUCUUUAUAUAAGUUAACCUGUAAACUCAGGUUGUAUCCUGUAAAAGGUAAACAGUGUUUAAAGGUUUUCUCUUUAACUUUAAUCCAUUAACAUUGAAGAGUUCAGCACCAGAGCAGUGAAAUUUUUUGGAAAACUAUUAGUUAAAUCUCUUUAUUCAAGUCAGCCAUCUAGGUCAUGACAGUUACCAAGAUGUAAUUGUCACUCGCCCAAAUGUAAAUGUUAAGUUGCCUCAUUUUUCUUCUAGAAAAGAUACCAUUAAGAGGCAUGCAGAUUUCAUUGGAUGUCACCUGCUUCUUAUUUCAUUGAUAGGUAGAUGGAUAGAUUGAAUACCAGUUAAGAGUGACUUUUCAUUGAGUGAUACAUUGUAGCUUCAGAAUAUUAACUCAGUACUCAAGUACUACAGUAGUUUUUAUGCUUAACUUCAUGUUUAUUCAUUAAGUAUAUAUUUUAUUUAACAUCAUCCAGGAGUCAGGCACUGGACUGGCACUAUUUUAGCAUGUUUUAAAAUGAGGCCUGUGU
rnacentral:lncRNA from 1 species